rnacentral:rRNA from 1 species
UACGGAGGGUGCGAGCGUUGUCCGGAAUCAUUGGGCGUAAAGGGCGCGUAGGUGGCCCGGUCAGUCUUUGGUGAAAGCGCGGGGCUCAACCCUGCGUCGGCCAGGGAUACUGCCGCGGCUCGAGCACUGUAGAGGCAGGCGGAAUUCCGGGUGUAGCGGUGGAAUGCGUAGAGAUCCGGAAGAACACCGGUGGCGAAGGCGGCCUGCUGGGCAGUUUGGUUGACACUGAGGCGCGACAGCGUGGGGAGCAAACAGG